rnacentral:rRNA from 1 species
AUUGAACGCUGGCGGCCGGCCUAACACAUGCAAGUCGAACGAGUGGCGGACGGGUGAGUAAUGUCUGGGAAACUGCCCGAUGGAGGGGGAUAACUACUGGAAACGGUAGCUAAUACCGCAUACCAUCGGAUGUGCCCAGAUGGGAUUAGCUAGUAGGUGGGGUAACGGCUCACCUAGGCGACGAUCCCUAGCUGGUCUGCGAGGAUGACCAGCCGCACUGGAACUGAGACAAGGUCCAGACUCCUACGGGAGGCAGCAGUGGGGAAUAUUGCACGAUGGGCGAAAGCCUGAUGCAGCCAUGCCGCGUGUAUGAAGAAGGCCUUCGGGUUGUAAAGUACUUUCAGCGAGGAGGCGUUACUCGCAGAAGAAGCACCGGCUAACUCCGUGCCAGCAGCCGCGGUAAUUC